GGUCAAGGGCCGUCGGUAAUGCUUCUUGAAAGACGGAAAAGGUGUGACACAUUACGACGGCGGCAGGCCGUCAGUAAUGAAUGGACCGUUUGACAAUUGUGACGGUCAGGGGCCGUCAGUAACGCGUCUUGAAGGAAGGAAAAGUGGGAGCAUUUACGACGGCUUCAGGCCGUCAGUAAUGCAUGACCGUUGGACAUUUAUGGCGGUCAGGGGCCGUCAGUAAUGUUUGAA
rnacentral:lncRNA from 1 species